rnacentral:tRNA from 1 species
GGAGAGUUGGCAGAGCGGUAAUGCAGCGGAUUGCUAAUCCGUCACGGUGUUAAAGCCGUGCACAGGUUCGAGUCCUGUACUCUCCGCCA